rnacentral:rRNA from 1 species
AUACCGGGCCUUUUUGGGCUUGGUAAUUGGAAUGAGGGAGAGUUAAACGGACCAUCGAGUAUCCAUUGGAGGGCAAGUCUGGUGCCAGCAGCUGCGGUAAUACCAGCUCCAAUAGCGUAUAUUAAAGUCGUUGCAGUUAAAAAGCUCGUAGUUGGACUUGUGCGCGCUGUCCGCGGGUGGCCUGCGCCCAAAAGGGCGUUUCGGUUCGGCCCCGGUGGCGCCUUGAAAUCUGCAGCUGGGGGGACGUUGGCCUUAACUGGUCGGCGACCGCACGCCGGCUGCUCGGUUACUGUGAGAAAAUUAGAGUGUUCAAGGCAGGCAUUGGGUGCAAUUGAAUACAUUAGCAUGGAAUAAUAAAAUAUGGCUCCUGCCGUAUUUUGUUGGUUUUGACUGGUGGGAGUAAUGAUUGAUAGGGACGGUUGGGGGUGCUAGUAUUGAGCGGCCAGAGGUGAAAUUCAUGGAUUCGCUCAAGACUAACUUAUGCGAAAGCAUUCACCAAGGACGUCCUCUUUAAUCAAGAGCGAAAGUUGGGGGAUCGAAGACGAUCAGAUACCGUCGUAGUCUCAACCAUAAACUAUGUCGACUUGGGAUCGGCGGUAGUUUUUUCAUUAAGACACUGUCGGGACCACGGGAGAAAUCAAAGUGUCUGGACUCUGGGGGAAGUAUGGUCCCAAGGCUGAAACUUGAAGGAAUUGACGGAAGGGCACCACCAGGAGUGGAGCCUGCGGCUUAAUUUGACCCAACACGGGGAAACUUACCAGGUCCAGAGAUGUAGAGGAUUGACAGAUUGAAGCUCUUUCUUGAUCACUUCGGUGGUGGUGCAUGGCCGUUCUUAGUUGGUGGAGUGAUUUGUCUGGUUAAUUCCGUUAACGAUCGAGACCUCAGCCUGCUAGUGUAGUCGGCUGGAUUGCCUUUGGCGAUCCGUGAUUUCGACUUCUUAGAGGGACAAUCGACGCGCAGUCGAUGGAAGUUUGAGGCAAUAACAGGUCUGUGAUGCCCUUAGAUGUUCUGGGCCGCACGCGCGCUACACUGCUGGGCUCAGCGAGUUUUACUUGGCCGAGAGGCCCGGUUAAUCUUGUGAAAUCCCAGCGUGCUUGGGCUCGCCUCCUGCAACUGGAGGCGCCAACGAGGAAUUCCUAGUAGACGCAGGUCAUCAACCUGCAUCGAUUACGUCCCUGCCCUUUGUACACACCGCCCGUCGUUCCAUAAGAGUGAGGCAUCCGGUGAAUUCUCGGGAGAGCCUGGGCGUGGCCAGCAAUGGUCUGCUCGGGUUUGAACUUGCAUAAACUUGGUGCCUAUGAUUAGGG